UGGCCAAUCCAUGGUGCGAUUUAUAGCCGGAUUAUUUUUAUUUUAGAUAAUUGAAUAAUUAAACUUAACCUGGGAAGGAUCGUAUUACGGUAGCUAUGCGUAUUUAUUAAUGUGUAAUAAGUAAGUACUAUAUACUAGAAAUUUCAAAAUAAUUACUUUCCCAAUGAAUCACCAAAACCCUACCAGAAGCCCAACCUGUUGUUUUUGGAUCAAAGCACUAAGUAUAAUAUAAUAUUCUGGUCAAAGUUGAAAUUAUUUUAACGGAUUUAAGCGUGGAACUUAUUUACGUACAACACUGUUACUUGGAAAAUUUUCAUCGUAGGGUUUAUCUUUACGAAUUAAAACAACAUAGUCGUGCAUAUAUUCACGCAUUAUUAUACGACGAUUAAUGUGAAAUUCACGUGGGAUAUUUAAAGACAUAUUGUUGUGUACAUUGCAGAAUGGGGAUGGUGCAGAUAACCUCAACGACGACGGAUCAUGUAUUGUCUUCGUCAGAGCUUAUUAAAAUCGACUGUAUAGUGUAAAUGUAUGACUUCCUGGAUUUUCCGUAUACAAUAUAUAAAAUACCUUUUUCUU